rnacentral:rRNA from 1 species
UACGUAGGGACCGAGCGUUGUCCGGAAUCAUUGGGCGUAAAGAGCGUGUAGGCGGCCAGCUAAGUCCUGCGUGAAAUCUCGGGGCUCAACCCCGAGCGGUCGUGGGAAACUGGUUGGCUAGAGUGCGGGAGAGGAGAGUGGAAUUCCUGGUGUAGCGGUGAAAUGCGCAGAUAUCAGGAAGAACACCCGUGGCGAAGGCAGCUCGCUGGGACGGUACUGACGCUGAGGCGCGAAAGCGUGGGGAGCGAACAGG